CUGGUUACACGUGUGGCACCUGAUGAAAGAUCGGGCAUUGUUGUACCGUGGAGGGGUUUGGUAGUUCCCACCACCCGGACGCAGUGCUGGGGUGGGGUUAAUGGUGGGAGGUGGGUUAGCAGCUCCCAAGAUGGACCGUGCCUGUGCUCGCUGUGCCCUCCUGGCAUCUUGGUACUCGUCUGCCCACCUGGCGGCGUCAGUUAAGAUGCGCGGUUUCUGA